rnacentral:rRNA from 1 species
ACGGGCCCCGCACAAGCAGCGGAGCGUGUGGUUUAAUUCGAUGCUACACGAAGAACCUUUACCAGGGUUUGACAUGCAAGUGGUAGGAAACCGAAAGGUGACCGACCCUUCGGGAGCUUGCACAGGUGCUGCAUGGCUGUCGUCAGCUCGUGUCGUGAGAUGUUCGGUUAAGUCCGCUAACGAGCGCAACCCUCGCUGUGUGUUAUAUGUGUCACACGGGACUGCCGGUCUUAAGCCGGAGGAAGGUGGGGAUGAUGUCAAGUCAGCAUGGCCUUUAUAUCCUGGGCUACACACACGCUACAAUGGCCAGCACAGUAGGUUGCUAAGCCGCGAGGUGGAGCCAAUCCAUAAAGCUGGUCUCAGUUCAGAUUGCAGGCUGCAACCCGCCUGCAUGAAGAUGGAGUUGCUAGUAACCGCAGGUCAGCUAUACUGCGGUGAAUACGUUCCCGGGGCUU